AGCGAACGCUGGCGGCAGGCCUAACACAUGCAAGUCGAACGAACCCUUCGGGGUUAGUGGCGGACGGGUGAGUAACACGUGGGAACGUGCCUUUAGGUUCGGAAUAACUCAGGGAAACUUGUGCUAAUACCGAAUGUGCCAUUCGGGGGAAAGAUUUAUCGCCUUUAGCGCGGCCCGCGUCUGAUUAGCUAGUUGGUGAGGUAAUGGCUCACCAAGGCUACGAUCAGUAGCUGGUCUGAGAGGAUGACCAGCCACAUUGGGACUGAGACACGGCCCAAACUCCUACGGGAGGCAGCAGUGGGGAAUCUUGCGCAAUGGGCGAAAGCCUGACGCAGCCAUGCCGCGUGGAUGAUGAAGGUCUUAGGAUUGUAAAAUCCUUUCACCGGUGAAGAUAAUGACUGUAGCCGAAGAAGAAGCCCCGGCUAACUUCGUGCCAGCAGCCGCGGUAACAC
rnacentral:rRNA from 1 species